rnacentral:rRNA from 1 species
UACGUAGGGUGCGAGCGUUAAUCGGAAUUACUGGGCGUAAAGCGUGCGCAGGCGGUUUUGUAAGUCUGUCGUGAAAUCCCCGGGCUCAACCUGGGAAUUGCGAUGGAGACUGCAAGGCUAGAAUCUGGCAGAGGGGGGUAGAAUUCCACGUGUAGCAGUGAAAUGCGUAGAGAUGUGGAGGAACACCGAUGGCGAAGGCAGCCCCCUGGGUCAAGAUUGACGCUCAUGCACGAAAGCGUGGGGAGCGAACAGG